rnacentral:rRNA from 1 species
AUUGAACGCUGGCGGCAUGCUUUACACAUGCAAGUCGGACGGCAGCAUAAAAGAGCUUGCUCUUUUGAUGGCGAGUGGCGAACGGGUGAGUAAUGCAUCGGAACGUACCGAGUAGUGGGGGAUAACUGUCCGAAAGGAUGGCUAAUACCGCAUAUUCUCUGAGGAGGAAAGCAGGGGACCUUAGGGCCUUGCGCUAUUUGAGCGGCCGAUGUCUGAUUAGCUAGUUGGUGGGGUAAGAGCCCACCAAGGCGACGAUCAGUAGCGGGUCUGAGAGGAUGAUCCGCCACACUGGGACUGAGACACGGCCCAGACUCCUACGGGAGGCAGCAGUGGGGAAUUUUGGACAAUGGGCGCAAGCCUGAUCCAGCCAUGCCGCGUGUAUGAAGAAGGCCUUCGGGUUGUAAAGUACUUUUGUCAGGGAAGAAAAGCCUGAGGAUAACACCCUCAGGUCAUGACGGUACCUGAAGAAUAAGCACCGGCUAACUACGUGCCAGCAGCCGCGGUAAUACGUAGGGUGCGAGCGUUAAUCGGAAUUACUGGGCGUAAAGCGAGCGCAGACGGUUAUUUAAGCAAGAUGUGAAAGCCCCGGGCUCAACCUAGGAACUGCGUUUUGAACUGGGUAACUAGAGUGUGUCAGAGGGGGGUAGAAUUCCACGUGUAGCAGUGAAAUGCGUAGAGAUGUGGAGGAAUACCGAUGGCGAAGGCAGCCCCCUGGGAUAACACUGACGUUCAUGCUCGAAAGCGUGGGUAGCAAACAGG